rnacentral:tRNA from 1 species
GGUGCUGUGGCUUAGUUGGUCAAAGUCCCUGUCUAGUAAACAGGAGAUCCUGGGUUCAAAUCCCAGCAGUGCCU